rnacentral:rRNA from 1 species
UUGGGUAUAAGUGUGCGUAGGUGGUUGUUUAAGUCUGUUGUGAAAGCCCUGGGCUCAACCUGGGAAUUGCAGUGGAUACUGGGCGACUAGAGUGUGGUAGAGGGUAGUGGAAUUCCUGGUGUAGCAGUGAAAUGCGUAGAGAUCAGGAGGAACAUCCAUGGCGAAGGCAGCUACCUGGACCAACACUGACACUGAGGCACGAAAGCGUGGGGAGCAAAACAGGAUUAGAUA